GACGAACGCUGGCGGCGUGCUUAACACAUGCAAGUCGAACGAAGUGGCGAACGGGUGAGUAACGCGUAAUCAACCUGCCCUUCAUCGGGGGACACCAGUUGGAAACGAGUGCUAAUACCCAAUACUGAAGGAGGGGAUUGCGUCGGAUUCGCUAGUUGGGGGGGGAACGGCCCACCAAGGCGAUGAUCAGUAGCCGGUCUGAGAGGAUGAACGGGCAAAUUGGGAAGGAGAAAAGGCCCAGACUCCUACGGGAGGCAGCAGGGGGGAAGCUUCCGAAAUGGACGAAAGUCUGACGGAGCAACGCCGCGUGAGUGAUGACGGCCGUCGGGGUGGAAAGCGCUGUUAAUCGGGACGCGGUACCGGAAUAGAAAGCCACGGCUAACUACGUGCCAGCAGCCGCGGUAAUUC
rnacentral:rRNA from 1 species